GGUUCCCAGCGAGCUGAGAUGAGCCGAUAAUGUGGCGUUUACAUAGUGCAGGCCACUGAUUGGGCAGGGAGUGACGACACAGAGCAACUUCAGCACGAAAACAAAAUCCUGCAUUAAAAAAUGACUGUAAACAGCGACGGUGUGCAUUGCUCUUCACGAAACUCUCUGUUCUUCAUAAUUUUAAUGUGACAGCCAGACCUGUACCGUGGGUGAAUGAAGAGGUCGAGACUUUGUCUUUGGUGGCGGACCAAAGAAUACAGAGAGAGCUGGACGGAGAAAGUUUAUCAGGAGGUCUCUGAGUGGAUGGCCGCUCACAUAUACAGUAGACUGUAUAUAAAGAGGACAGAAGCAGUGUAGGGAGAAGCUGAAAAAGCUCAAAAGUGACUAUCGGUCCACCCAGGACCACAACGGCCGGCGUGGGUCAACCAGGAGGUGUUGGAAGAGGUUUCAUGGAAGCUAUUUACUGGCACCGCACCGGCGAGCAACAGGAGGGAGACUCAGCCGCUGCAUUGUUGGAGACGUUCGAGGACGAAUCCCUUUCCACAUGCGAAGCCUACUCCACCUCCGUCGCGGAGCCCCCAGCUCCCCUGCCUCCUCUCCACCACCAGCAGCAGCUCCUCUCCAGCACCAGCUUCGACACCGACCCUGUCAACAUCAACCUCCAGCACGUCACAGCAACGUCUUAUCACCGGCAAGAGGAAAGGGGGCCACAGAAAAUUGGACCUUCCUAGCAUACUUGUGGAGAUGCAGGCUGAGGAGGAGUGGAGUCAUGCCCAGCAUGAUGAGAACAUCUGGUUGUUCCUCAGCGAGGCAAGAGAGAAUGAAGCGGCCUUGCAGCGGGAGGAGAUGGCCCAGAAUACUGCCUUCAACCAGUCAUUCCUGGGUGUGCUGGGGCAGCUGGGGUAGCUGGGUAGGCAGUGGGCAGCCGGCGAGUGUGAGCGAGUCCACCUCCCAUAGACUUGAGAUUUACAAGUGCUGGUC
ensembl:lncRNA